ACGGAGCGACGCCGCGUGGAUGAUGAAGGCCGUGAGGUUGUAAAGUCCUUUUGAACCUGACGAAUAAGCGCGGGAGGGAAUGCCCGUGUGGUGACGGUAGGGUUUGAAUAAGCAACGGCUAAUUACGUGCCAGCAGCCGCGGUAACACGUAAGUUGCGAGCGUUGUUCGGAAUUAUUGGGCGUAAAGGGUAUGUAGGCGGUCAUGCAAGCUUGAUGUGAAAUCCAUGGGCUCAACCCGUGAACUGCAUUSAGAACUAUGUGACUUGAGUUACCGAGGGGAAACCGGAAUUCCAGGUGUAGGGGUGAAAUCUGUAGAUAUCUGGAAGAACACCGAUGGCGAAGGCAGGUUUCUAUUGGAUGACUGACNNUGAGGUACGAAGGUGCGGGGAGCAAACAGGAUUAGAUACCCUNNUAGUCCCACAGUAAACGAUGCGCACUASSUGUUUGCCUGAAAG
rnacentral:rRNA from 1 species